UAGAAUAUGAUGUAAUAGGUAGCAUGGAGAAUUUUGAAUUCUCAGGUAUGGGUUCAAUUCCUAUAAUUCUAG
rnacentral:tRNA from 1 species